rnacentral:rRNA from 1 species
CAGCCGCCGCGGGAAUACAGAGGAUGCAAGCGUUAUCCGGAAUGAUUGGGCGUAAAGCGUCUGUAGGUGGCUUUUCAAGUCAGUCGUCAAAUCCCUGGGCUCAACCCUGGACAAGCAGUGGAAACUACCAAGCUGGAGUAUAGUAGGGGCAGAGUGAAUUUCCGGUGGAGCGAUGAAAUGCGUUGAGAUCAGAAAGAACACCAACGGCGAAAGCACUCUGCUGGGCCGACACUGACACUGAGAGACGAAAGCUAGGGGAGCAAAUGGGAUUAGAGACCCCGGUAAUCCCUGUCUCUUAUAA